rnacentral:lncRNA from 1 species
AUUGUAGGCUUUUCACGCUGUCAAUGUCUAUGUGAAGGGAGUAAGGCAGCCUGAAACCUCUUGCCCCUAGGUCCCAUAGUCCCCAUUCCCCUUCCAGCUGGAAAUUUGUGCUGUGACCACAGGAACCAGAAAUGGGGUGAGAAUGCUUAGGGGACUGGGUUGUAAGAUCAAAGGCCGGUCUUGAAGCAGUAAUGACAGUUCCUGGGGGGACUGUGACAUCACUACAUUCCACUCCUCCUAGGGGAGGGAGGGAACAACAUCAGUGUGAUGGCUGAGUCACCGAUUCACAAUGGAGCAGGGGGAUGUAGGGCUGGGACCCAGGUCCACGGAGACACCAGCCCAAAGAGCCCAGGGAGGUCGGGCUUGGGUCAGCAGGAGGGGAGAGCAGAGUCUGCAGCAGGAAGCCCGAGGAGUCACCAGCCCAAAGUCACCCAGGGAUGACUGGUGAGGGUGGGGCCUGGGGCUGGGGGACCCAGGUCCUUGGAGAGCGUUUCUCACCUCUGGAGGACUCAGCAUUCAAGGUGCCAUCUUGGAAGCAGAGAGCAGCCCUCACUAGACUACAAACCUGCUGGCGCUUUGAUCUUGGACUUCCCACCCACCAGAACUCUCUCCACUCCCUUCCUAGACUUUCUUCAUAGAGCCAGAAGAGGGUACCUGAAUUGGCCUGGACUGCUC